UAGAAUAUUCUAGAACAGGUCUGAAUAGUGUGGGUGUUGUAGUUUUUGAGGUAGAGGAGAUUAAAUAAGGUCAGAGUAGAGAAAAAUUGUGUGUAACGGCCCUUUAGCCGUUUCCCGAAUCGGAGGUUAACUUCAGCCUCAUUUAGUCGCGCUGCUCUUUAGCUGAUGUGGGAUUUCUUUACUGGAUGCUAACAUCACAUCACACUCACGGAGUAACACACACAGGCGCUCUGCUGCUACAGUCAGUGGAAGGUUAUCAUCUGGUGUAAAAAGUAGUGAUGCACCGAUGGAUCGGCAUUUGAUCGUAAUCGGCCGAUAGCGCCCCUAUCGGUUUUGAUCGGAAUUUUCAAAAUAGAUCAAAGCAAACCGAUCAGGUAGGGUUGUCACGGUAACCAGUGUAGCGGUAAACCCCGGUAAAAAAAAAGUUGACAAUAAUAAUAACCAUCUUGUUUUAAAAAAACUAUAUUAUCUUGGUGGGUUUACCGUGGCUGCGGUGUAGGCGCGGUGACCCUUACCAGCCACCGUAUCAUCGGCUGAAGUUGCCGGCGGCACGUGCACGCUUUGAUGUUUACAACAAAACUUUCUUGAAGCUAAAGCUGAAAUAAUGGUCAAAGGAGACGGCAGCGCUCAGGAGGACAUUUAUUAUCCCUCAAAGAAGACAAAGUCGGAAGUACGGGCAUCUUUUAGAUAUUUGAAGAAUGCCGAGGGAGUUUAUAGAAGACGGACGGCUAUCCUGUUUGCAGCGCGAGCAGAAAAAGUGUCUGUGAAAGGCAGCAACGCUUCAAAUCUCAUGACUAGGGUUGCCAACCGUCCCUUGAAAAACAGAACCGUCCCGUAUUUAGAAACACAAGUGCACGUCCCGUAUUGAACUCAAAAGGGACGCACUUUGUCCCGUAAUAUAGUAUGGAUCAAAAUUAGUCUGUAGUCUAUUACCGGAAUUAACGCUUUGUUUGAAAGCCAGCCCUUCGCCUGCUCUGUGACCAAUGAACUGACCGCAUGCUUAUACACGAAUAUGACGAUACAGAUUACCGCUUAUUUCAUUGGUCGAGGAACGGUCGCUUGGGGAGAAGAUACCGGAAGAAAACAGACGACAGCAAACAGCACGGCCAACAGGGAAACUAACGCCGACACUGCUGUACAAGUCUCGGGCGACAGUAUCCCUCCGAGAAAGAAGAAAAAAGGCUUCAAAAAUAUAGGGAGGAAUGGGAAAAGGAAAAUUCCUGGCUGGAAAAACUGCGCGAUAACACCUAUAAAGCGCACUGCACCGUGUACCGGCGCAGUUUUUCCAAAGGGCAUGGUGGGCUGACUGACCUCAAGCAACAUGCGUCUAGUAGUAGCCGCAUGAAAAACAUAAAGGACGUGAAAGCACGGGGAACCCUCGAUCCGUUUGUCGUCCAGAAGGCCACGGCAGAAGCAGAUAUGGUUAAACAUCUCUAUGGAUGAGCUUUAUGACGAGUGUGUCACUGCAACCAGCCUUCUGGAGCCCCUCACCAAAGGACCUCAGGAGAAGGAAAAGUGGCAGUCCAAGGGAACAGCAGAGAAGUGUAUAGAAAUUCUUCAGGCAGCUGACCUCUCCAACAUCCAGCCUGUUGUAUCGUUUGUACUCAGCAUCCCAUCUUCCACUGGGUUUGCAGAGAGGAUUUUCUCUCUCAUGAAGAAUAAGUGGACUGAUGUGCGGAACAAAUGUUCUACUGAAAUAAUUAGAUGUGAGCUCAUUGUCACUCUAAAUUGUGACAUGUUUUGCUCAGAGUUUUACUCUGCAGUACUGAAAGACAACUCCUAAAUGAAGCAAGAUCUCAAAAGAAAUACAAAUGGAGAAAAUAGUCUGUUUUCACAUAAUGUAGCAUUGAGCUUUUGAGUUCAUGAGUUUGGACUUUUUUUUUUACUUCAACCGUAGGCUACAGUCAAGGCCUUUGAGGCACAAAUAUGUUUACAGCUUCUCCACAGACUUUCUGUUUGCACUUUUCUAAUUGCACUAAAUGUGCACUUACAGCGUUGCUCUUUCUGUUGUUUUCUAUUAAUUUAUACAAUUUUAAGUUAAGCAGAACAGAGUUGUUUUAAAGAGAGCUAUUUAUAUUCUAAAAAGUAAAG